rnacentral:SRP_RNA from 1 species
GCUGGGUGUGGUGGCACAUGCCUGUAAUCCCUGCUACAGGGGAAGCUGAAAUUGAUGGAUCAUUUGAGCUUGCAAAUUUUGAAUUGUAGUGGGGCUAAAGCCAGUUAGGUGUCUGCACUCAGUCCAGUACCAAUAUGAUGAGUCUCCAGGAGUGGGGACCCAACAGGCUGCCUAAAGAGAGGCAAAUGAACCCACAUUGGAAAAGUUCAAAGCUUCUGUGCUGAUCAGUAGUGGAAUCUGGCCUGUGAGUUGGCACUGUACUUUCAGUCUGGGCAAGAUAGGGAGACCCU